UUCAGCUCUCCCUAUAGCUUUAUCACUCACACAGCUAACAUGGACUAUCUUCCCCUGGUUGGUUUGAGGGAAGGUGGACCACAUAUCGUCCAUUGGCUGUUAUGGAACAGUUUGACAAGUUUCAGGAUAUUCAUCCCUUUGACGGGGCAAUGGGCCAGCGAUUGUCAUCUUGGCUUAAGUCAGUAGAGGAUUUGUCCAGGAUUUAUGCUUGUUGGACUCGUCGCGAGAGGGCUGACUUUUUGACU
rnacentral:lncRNA from 1 species